CUUUGAUAAGUUGGCGCCUUUUUGGUUUUUCUCCCUUGCAUAUAUAUUGUAUUGCCUAAUACUCUUUUAAUUUUAGUAAACUCUUUAAAGUGUAUUUCAUAACGGUAUUUGUUGUGGGUUUGAUACUGUGGGCGGGCGCGAGGCAUAAACUCGGUUCUCACAGCCCCUGCGUGUACGGGCGGUGGGAUUGGUGUGUGGCUGGAUCUCCUUUUCCCCUAGACAUAUACCAGCCUGUUGGGUAAGUGUUACAUUUGGUUCUCUAUCAAGCACCUACGCUCAUUUAAGAACAUUUGUUUAGAUUUAUAACGAAUAGUGCAAAUCCUAUUCUAAUAGGAGAAAUGGGAGAAACAGUGCAAUAAAAAAUUAAGAACAACUUGAUCCAUUGCCUUAAGGAUCAAUUAUGGCAGUUAUUCCUGUUGGUAUCUAGGUGUAGUGGAAAAACACCUUGAUUGAAUUUUAAAUUUGAUUCCUAGUUUUCAGUCUUAAUUCCUUGCACUUAUUUAAUGCUUCUGAUUAUUUUGGAUAAGUGCUCUUUAUUUGUUUUUUUAACUUCUUUUAUUUCUCUGUAUGUUUUCUGUUACUAAUCUGUGGAUGGAAAAAGACCUGUAUUUUUAACAUGGGUCACUCAAAUGUGUCACACAACCAAAUGAAAUACUUCCAAAAUACAGCUGCCACUUUUGAAAACAGCAACUAAUUUCUAUGAACAAGCUUUCACAAACAUCAAAGAGUGAUGAAGUUUUUUCAAAGGUUGGUGAUGAAAAAUAUCAACUCCUGCCCGAGAAGCAACUUAGAUCUGCUCCAAUUUGCCUACUGGAGCAACAGGUCCACAAUUGAUGUAAUCUUAUUGGCUCUUCACUCAACCCUGGACAGGACAGGAAAGAUGCGUAUAUCAAGAUGUUCUUUAUCGACAACAGCUCUGCAUUCAACACCAUCAUCCCUUCAAAACUAAUUAAUAAUCUCCAAGAUUUUGACCUUGGUACCUCCUCGUGCAAUUGGAUUCUGGAUUUCCUCACUUGCAGACCCCAGUCAGUUUGGAUUGCCAACAACAUCCCCUCUGCUUCCUCCAUCAACACAACUGUACCACAAGGUUGUGUGCUUAGUCCCCUGCUCAACUCGCUUUACACUUAUGACUGUAUGGCUAAGCAUAGUUCCAGAGUCAUAUUCAAGUUUGCUGAUGACACCUCUGUCAUGGGCCGAAUCAAAGGUGGAGAUGAAUCAGCAUAUAGGAGGGAGAUUUAAGAUCUGGCUGAGUGGUGCCACGUGACAUCUCACUGAAUGUUAGCAAGACCAAGGAACUUAUUGUAGACUUUAGGAGAAGGAAACUAGAGGUCCAUGAGCCAAUCCUCAUCGGAGGAUCAGAGCUGGAGAGGCUUAGCAACUUUAAAUUCCCAGUUGUUGUUAUUUCACACCUGGGCUCAGCACAUAAAUGCAAUUAUGAAGAAAGCAUGCCAGUGCCUGUACUUCCUUAGGAGUUUGUGGAGAUUCAGCAUGACAUCUAAAACUUUGACAAACUUUUACAGAUGUGUAGUGGAGAAUAUGUUGCUUGGCUGCGUCACAGCCUGGUGUGGAAACACCAAUGUCCUUGAACAGAAAAUCCUUCAAAUCUUAUUGGAUAUGACCCAGCCCAUCAUAAGUAAAGCCAUCCUAACCAUUGAGCACAUCUACAUGAAACACAGUUGUAGGAAAUCAGCAUCCAUAAUCAGGGAAGCCACUACCCAAGACAUGCUCUCUCCUCGUUACUGUGAUCAGGAAGAAGGUUCAAGAGCCUCAGAAUGUGCACUACCAGGUUCAGGAAUAGUUACUACCCCUCAACCAUCAAGCUCCUGAAUCAAAGGAGAUAACUUCACUUGCCCUAUCUUUGAAAUUUUCCCACAACCAAUGCACUCAUUUUCAAGGACUCUUCAUCUCAAGUUCUCAAUAUUUAUUUAUUAUUAUUAUUUCUUCCCUUUGGAUUUGCAGUUUGUCGUCUUGUACACUCUGAUUGGACAGUUUUUCAUAGAUUCUAUUAUAGUUAUUAUGCUACAGAUUUGUUGAGUAUGCCCAGGAGAAAAUGAAUCUCAGGGCUGUGUAUGGUGACAUAUAUCUACUUAGAUAAUAAAAUUUACUUUGAACUUUAUUUCUCUUGCUCAAUACCCAAGUAUACAUAUUACAGUUCUAAAAUUGUAAGCUAAUGGGACCAGCUUGUCCUUCCCUGUCUAAGAUAAACAAAUACAGAAUCUGCAAGCAUUUCUGCUUCUUCAAGGUUCAGAUCAUCACAGGGAGUGCAUUCAUGUGGUGUUUCAGAUGACCUUUCAGAACCUGGAGUUCUUAAUGAGUUGCAAACAUUUCUAAGCGCUCAGUGUUCAGAUGAUGACCAACCAUGAUAGAAACUUCUUAACACAAGAUAUCUUGUAAUUCUGCUUGAGACUUAAGGAAACAAUUCCCCACUGGAAAUCCAUCUUGUAGGGAAGUUAAGGAAAAUGGCUAUAUGGGAUUGUACGGGAGAAACGGGUUAAGGACAACAUAAGAUUGGAGGAAAAAGAAUUAAAAGGGCAUAAGUAAGGAACUAUCACGAAACACGUGUGUAUACUGCUUUUGAUAGUUAGUGGAAGAAAACCACAGUGAUCAGCUCUCUGGCACCAAGUCUGACUCUGGCUCAGAGGGAAGGUGGGGGGAGGAGUGCAGUAAUGAUAAGGGAUUCCAUAGUUAGAGGAGCAGACAGGAGAUUCUGUGUAUGUGAGACACCCAGCUGGUAUGUUGUCUUCCAGGUGUUAGGGUCAGGGAUGUUUUUGUUCAGGUUCACAGCAUUCUAAAGGGGGAGAGUGGUACAUAUUGGACUAAUAAAAUGGGUAGAAAAUAAGAGGAGAAUAUAGGGAGUUGGGUCAAAAGCUGAAAAGCAGGAUCUCCAGAGUAGUAAUCUCUGGAUUGCUGUCUGACACACACCAGUGAGGGUAAGAGUAAGAUGAUUUGGGAUAUGAAUGCAUGGCUGAAGAAUUAGUGCAGAAGGCAGGGUUUCAGAUUUCUGGAUCAUUGGGAUCUCUUCUGGGGAGCGUAUGACAUAUACAAACAAGGACAGAUUACAGCUGAACCCAAAGGGGAAUAAUAUCCUUACAGGCAGGUUUGCUAGCGCUGUUGAGAGGGUUUAAACUAAUUUGGCAGGGUGAUGGGAACUAGAACAAUUGAGCUGAGGAUGGGGCAGUUGGUAUACAAGUAGAUGCAGUGCAUAGUGAGACUGUGAGGAAGGACAGGCAGAUGAUAGGGCAAGAUUGCAGUCAGUGGGAUGAGUUAAAAGUGUAACAUGGGAGCAAAAUAUAAAAAGGUGAUGAAUACAGGGCUGAAGGUGCUAUAUUUGAAUGCAUGUACUAUACAGAAUAAGAUAGGUGAUCUAGUAGUGCAAAUAGAUGUGGGCAGGUAUGAAGUAAGUAUCACUGAGUCAUGGCUGAAAGAGAUCAUAGUUGGGAGCUUGAAUCCAAGGAUACACAUUGUAUCAAAAGACCAGGCAGGUAGGAAAAGGGGUUGGGGUGGCUCUGUUGGUAAAAAAUGAUAACAAUUCCUUAGAAAGAGGUCAUAUAGGAUCAGAAGCUGUAGAAUUCUUGUGGGUAGUUAAGAAAUUGCAAGGGUGAAAAGAUGAUGAUGGGAGUUAUAUACAGGCCUCCAAACAGUAGCCAGGAUGUAGGAUACAAAUUUAAUAAGUAUUUUGCAUCAGUAUUCACUGUGUAAGACACCAGCAAUAUGCCAGAAAUUCAGGAGUGUUUGGGUGGGGGGGGGAGAGGGGCAGAUGUAAGUGUAGUUGCCAGUAGUAAGGGAAGUUGCUAGGAAGCUGAAAGUACAUAAGUCACCUGGGCCAAAUGGACUACACCCCAGAGUGCUGAAAGAGGAUAGCUGAAGCAAUUGUGGAGACAUGAACAGAAGAUUCGCUAACUGGCAGGAGGCAAAGAGUGGGAAUAAAGGGAUCUCUUCUGGUUGGCUGCUGAUAACUAGUGGCAUUCAGAAGAGGUCAGUGUUAAGAACACUUCUUCUCACAGUAUAUGUCAACAAUCUGGAUGAUGGAAUUGAUGGCUUUGUGGCCAAGUUUGCAGAUAAUAUAAAGAUAGGUGGAGGGGCAGGUAGUGUUGAGGAAGCAGGGUGUCUUCAGAAGGAUACAGACAGAUUGGGAGAAUGGGAAGGUAAGUGGCAGAUGGAAUGUAGUGUAAGGGAAGUGCGCAGUACUGUUACAUAGUUCGGUAGAAGGAAUAAAGGUGUAGACUAUUUACUGAACAGAAAAAAAAUGAAAAAUCCAAGGUGCAAAGUGAUUUGGGAGCUCAUGUGCAGGGCACUGUCUUUGCUUGAUGUUUCAUGACCGUAACAACAAUAAUAAGUACUCUAUUGAUCCAGAGUGGGAAAUUAUUUUGUUACAGCUGCAACAUGUAAAAACCCACUUAACAAUAAUAAUAGUAACAAAUAUAUUAACUAAAGUACAGAAUAACAAUACGGUAUACACAAUGUGCAAUAAUGUAUGAAAUAAUGAAAGAGACUACUGUACUAUGAUGUGUGUCCUCCUGUCACAAAGAGAACUGUUGAUGUACAUGCUUAUUGCAUUUUGUAGGAAAGAUCUUCUGUAAUAAUCCUUGUGACAGCAGAGCUGAAUGAGCCUGUUGAAAGGAUGCUCCACUGCUUAUUCAGUAGGUCAUGGAGAGAAGGUGCCUGAUUACCCAUAACAGUUUGUUCAGUGACCUCCUCUCUAUCACUAACUCAAAAGAGUCCGAGUUGUAGCCAAAGACAGAUCCAGCAUUUUUGAUGUGUUGAUUUAGUCUUACUGCAUCACCAGCAACAAUGCAGAUCCCCCAAAAUAAAAACCACAAAGAAGACUGCACUUGCUACAACAGACUGGUAAAAGAUCUCCAAUAUCCUGCUGCACACAUUGAAGGAUCUCCUCAGCUUCCUUAGAAAAUACAGUCUGCUCAUCCCCUUCUUGUAAACAGGCUUGGUAUUGGUUUUCCAGUCAAGCCUGUUGUCAAGGUGAACAUCCAAGUAUUUGUACUCCACCACCACCACCUUCUCCCCGAAUGUAUAGAGGACUUGUCACAGUCCUCUUCCUUCUAAAAUCAAUCACCACCUCCCUGGUUUUGGCAACAUUCAGGAGCAGGUGAUUCCUUCUGCACCACUUCUCAAACUUGUCCACAAGUCCUCUGUACACCGACUCUUGCCCAUCUCUGAUACAGCCAACCACCGCAGUCAUCAGAGAACUUCUGCAAGUGGCAAGACUCAGAAAGUCUGAGGUGUAUAGUGUGAACAGAAACAGAGACAGGACUGUCCCUUGUGGUGCUCCAAUGCCACUCACCACCAUCUCAGACUGAGAACUACCCAGCCAUUCAAACUGGGGUCUAUCUGUCAGGUAGUCAGUAAUCCAGGAGAUAGUGGAUUUGUCUACACCCAUCCUUUGCAGCUUCUCACUCAGUAGUGGCUGGAUUGUACUGAAUGCACUAGAGAAAUCAAAAUGAUUCUCACAAUGCCACCAGCAUCAUCCAGGUGGGAGUAAGCUUUCUGCAAUAGGUAGACAAUGGCAUCAUCCACUCCCACAUGGGGUUGGUAUGCAAACUGUAGAAGGUCCAAUGAAGAUCUCACCUGUGGUCCAAGGCAAGUCAGGACCAGCCUUUCCAGCACCUUCAUCACGAGGUGUGAGGGCAAUUGGUCUGCAGUCAUUAAGUUCAGAUGGAGUCACCUUCUUGGGUACAGGAACCAAGCAGGAAGACUUCCAUAGCACUAGUAUGCUAUGAUUCAGUUUCAGAUUACAGAGGUGUUGCAAAAUACAAGGCAGCUGGCUCGCACAGUCGUUCUGUACCCUGGGGCUGAUACUGUCCAGUCCAGCAGGCCUGCCUUGAUGUAGACUCUCCAGCUGUCUCUUAACCUGACCUGCAGUCACAGUCAGGCGAGGGAGGGUGGUCAUCCCCAUGAAGGCAGGAUACUCCAAAGUUGGGUUUGGAGCACAAGCACUCACCACACACAUUGCUGUUUUGCCAAAUACCUUAUAAAUAAAGCAGGUUAUGAUGUGCUAGUUAGCUAUUGCCUAAGAUGUGGUGACAUUCAAGUGCAGUUGCUGUCACCGAUAUGGAUCAGUAUCAAAUCAUUUGAGCUAGCUACUUAAAUUAUUUUCCCCAUAAAAACCAACAUUAUCAUUUUCCAAACAGAAAAUAUUGUUACAAGGUGUGUGUUACACAAAUCCCUUUAAGGGCUAGAAUCACAACCUCAAACUCAUAGAUAAAAGGUGGCAGCAGCAAGAAAUUACUCAGGAUGUUUCUCAGGCAACUAUUUGCCAAAUAAAAGGGGAGGAGAAUGGGAAUGCCUGCAUGAUUCUAUUGCAGUAAGAUCGUCAUCCAAUGGCGGCAUUCAAAAACAGCAUUGAGCUCCCCAACUUCUGAGCAAAUUGACUUCUCAGUCAGUAUUAUUUAAAAUAACAGAAUGACUUGGAUAAAAGAUUGACUAGCACCCCUAGAAAAUUUCAGAACUUUCUAUCAAUUACUCAGCCAACUGAAUUUUGCAACAGUAACCUUUUUCCCAAGUAGAUAAAGAUCACUGACACAUUUUUUUUAAUAGGGUACUUGUAAAUAGCAAUCUGUGUGACGUGUCUUCACCAUUAUAAAUACCUCCUGUACUCAGUCAAGUCAAUCAGUGUGCUUAGUUCCUUCCUCUGACAGUUUGUUCCUUGAAAGCUGCUUGGAGUCCCAUCCUGUAUAGCAAUCAACAUCUGACUAGACUCUUUUCUUUCUUUUUCAAUAUUUUUAUUGACUACUUGCAUAAAUGAAUACAAAUACAUUAUAUUAUGAAAACAGAAGUUGAAAUGCCCCGUAUCUAUGUAUAGUAAAUUAAAUGUAAUAUUGAAAAGCUACAUUUUAUUCUAAUCUAAAACAAAAUCAAAACCCCAUAACAAAAAGGAGAAAAAAAACAGCUGUUUGUGGUUUUAAAAGGAAAAAAUCCUGAACAAAAUCAUAAAUUCAAACUUACAAUAGCCAUCAUCAUUGCUGAACAAGUCAAAGAUUGUGAAGUAGUUCCAAAAAGGCCACCAUAAUGUGAAAAAAAAUCGUUUUUUUCUUAAAAUUAUUUUUAUUAAAUUUUAGAAAAUUACAAGAAUAAAUGUGAUGAUAAAAUAGUAAGAAAAAUAAUAUUAACCCUCCCCCCCUUAACCCUUAUCUAAAAAAAAGAAAGGAGAGAAAGAUUGCCUGGAUAUCGGAGGAUCCCUCAUGCUCCAUGGAGUUCAAAAUAAUUUUAAUAUUUAUUUUUUCUUUCCCCAAUUACUUUAUAAUUUUAUCUUCAAAGGACCUAUGUAUUUAAUCCUAUCUUUUGUAAGUAUGGGAACCAAAUUUUCAAAAAUAUAUCAUAUUCAUUUCUUAGAUUGUAUGUAAUUUUUUCAAGUGGAAUACAACUAUGUAUUUCAUUAUUCCAACGAUCCAUAGUUAAAUAUAAGUCAGAUUUCCAAGUAACUGCAAUAACUUUAUUGGCUACUGCCAAUGCAAUUUUUAUAAAUUUUUUCUGAUACUUAUUCAAUUUAAGUUUCGGUAUUAUCCCUUCAAUGUCUCCUAAUAAAAAUAAUACUGGACUAUGUGGAAGUUGUACUCCAGUAAUUUGUUCCAAUAAAAGUCUUAGAUUUAUCCAAAAUGGUUGAAUUUUAAAACAAGACCAAGUAGAAUGUAAAAAAGUACCAAUUUCUUGAUUACAUCGAAAACAUUGGUCAGACGUAUUUGAAUUUAAUCUAUUUAUUUUCUGUGGUUAUAUAUAGUUGAUGUAAAAAAUUAUAUUGUAUUAAUCCAAGUCGAACAUUUAUUGUAUUUCUCAUACUAUCAGAACAUAAUCUUGACCAAUUUUUUCCAUCAAUUUUAACAUUCAAAUCAGAUUCCCAUUUUUGUCUUGAUUUAUGAAUUCCUAAUUUAAUUGUCUGUUUUUGAAUCAAAUUAUACAUACAAGAUAUAAUUUUUUAAAUUUUUCCUUUCUGAAUUAAUAUUUCAAUUUCACUAGAUUUUGGCAUCAACAUUGUUUGACCCAGCUUUUCUUGUAAAUAAGCUUUUAAUUGAAAAUAACAAAAAAGAGUAUUACUUGAUAUUUCAUAUUUAUUUUUUAAUUGAUCAAACGACAUCAAUAUACCUCCUUCAAAACAAUCACCUAUAUAUUUAAUCCCCUUUUGGAACCAGUUAUGUAAAUGUUUAUUAUCCAUUGUAAAAUGAAUAAGCCUAUUUUGAAUUAAAGUUCUUUUUGCUAGUAGAUUUCUUUAUCUUAUCAUCCAUAUUUACCUUAUUCCAUAAAUCAAUCAAGUGUUUUAAUAUAGGAGAUUCGUCUUUUUCCCAUAUCCAUUUGGAUUCCCAUUUAUAUAUAAAAUCUUCUGGUAUGUUUUCUCCUAUCUUAUCUAAUUCUAUUCUAAUCCAUGCCAGUUUUUCUUCAUCAAAAAAAGACGCAAUAAAUCUAAGUUGAUUUGCUUUUUAAUAAUUCUUAAAAUUUGGAAGUUGUAACCCUCUUAAAUCAAAUUUACAUGUCAAUUUUUCCAAUGAUAUUCUUGACAUCUUUCCUUUCCAAAGAAAUUUCCUUACAUAUUUAUUCAAUUCUUGAAAAAACUUCUGAGGUAAUUGUAUUGGUAAAGUUUGAAAUAAAUAUUGCAAUCUAGGAAAUAUAUUCAUUUUUACAGCAUUAACUCUACCUAUUAAUGUUAUUGGUAACAUCAUCCAUUUAUCAAGAUCCUCUUUUAUUUUUUUUAAUAAUGGCAAAUAAUUUAGUUUAUAUAAAUUUUUUACAUCAUUAUCAACUCUAAUACCUAAAUAUUUUAUCCCAUUUAUUGACCAUCAAAAUUGAGUUACUAAUCGACAUUGGUUAUAAUUUCCUUUAGUAAGGGGUAAAAUUUCACUUUUAUCCCAAUUUACUUUAUACCCUGAUACAUUCCCAUAUUCUUCCAAUCUAAAAGAUAAUCUUUGCAAAGAUUGCAAUGGAUUUGUUAAAUAAAUCAAAACAUCAUCAGCAAAUAAAUUAAUCUUAUAUUCUUCUUGAUUAACUCGAAAGCCCCCUAUGUCUGAAUCUGUUCUAAUUAAUUCAGCUAAUGGUUCUAUUGCCAAUACAAAUAAAGCAGGUGAUAAUGGGCAGCCUUGUCAAGUUGACUUCGUUAAGCAAAAUGGUGUUGAAAUCUGACCAUUUGUAACUACUUUAGCUUGAGGAUUAGUAUUUAAAGUUUUAAUCCAUUGUAUAAAAGAUUUCCCUCAUAUUUUUCCAAUACCUUAAAUAAAAAAUCCCAUUCCAAUCUAUCAAAUGCUUUUUCUGCAUCCAAAGCAACUGCCACACUCAUUUCCUCUCUUUUUUGUGCCAAAUGAAUUAUAUUAAGUAACCGGGUUAUAUUACCCAUUGAUUGUCUGUUUUUAAUAAAACCUGUUUGAUCCAUAUGUAUUAAUUUUGGUAAAUAUUUAGAUAUUCUAUUAGAUAACAUUUUUGCUAGUAUUUUAUAAUCUGUAUUCAACAAAGAAAUAGGCCUAUAUGAUGGUUUUAAAGGAUCUCUAUCUUUUUUUGGCAAUACAGUUAUGAUCACUGUUAAAAAAGAUUGUGGAAGUUUAUGCAUUCUUUCCACUUGGUAUAUUAAUUCCAUAAAAGGAGGAAUUAAUAAAUCUUUAACUUUUUUAUAAAAUUCAGGAGGAAAACCAUCUUCUCCUGGGGAUUUAUUACUCUGAAGUGAUCCUAAAGCUUCUUCAACCUCUUUUAAUGUAGAGGGCAUAUCUAAUCCUUUCUGUUCUUCCAAAUUUAAUUUUGGAAGGGUUAUUUGUGAUAGAAAUUUAUCUAUCUCAGCAAUCUUAUUUUGUGAUUCUGAUUGAUAUAGUUCAGUAUAAAAAAUUUUUAAAGUUUCAUUAAUUUCUAAAGGUUUAUAAGUAACCUUAUUUACACUUGUUCUAAUUGCAUUUAUUGUUUUAGAAGCCUGUUCUGUUUUCAACUAACAAGCAAGAAUUUUAUGUGAUCUUUCACCUAAUUCGUAAUAUUUCUGUUUAGUUCUCAUAAUUACUUUUUCUGUACGAUAUGUCUGGAGUGUAUUAUAUUGUAGUUUUUUAUUAACAAUUUGUCUUCGUUUUUCUUCUGUCGUAUAUCUUUGAGAUUCUUUUUCUAACUUUAUGAUAUCUUUUUCCAAUUGAUCUAUUUCUGCUGCGUAUUCCUUCUUAAUUUUAGAUGUAUAACUUAUAAUCUGACCCCUUAAAUAUGCUUUCAUCGCUUCCCAUGAUACAAUUUUAUCCUCAACUGAAUGUAAAUUUGUAUCCAAAAAAAAUUGAAUUUGUUUUUUCAUAAAAUCACAAAAAUGUUGACGUUUUAAUAAAAUUGAAUUAAAUCUCCAUCUAUAGAUCGAUUCCUCCUUAUCUGUCAUUAUCAUUGUCAUUAUCAAUAUCAAGGGGGAAUGAUCUGACAAUAUUCUUGCUUUAUAUUCCACACCUUUCACUCUAUCUUGAAUAUUUUUUGAUAAUAAAAAAAAAUCAAUCCUUGAGUAAGUUUUAUGUCUAUUUGAAUAAAAUGAAUAAUCUUUCUCUUGGAUUAAUUUUUCUCCAUAUAUCAAUCAAAUUUAAAUCUUUCAUUAAUGAUGAAGUUAGUUUUAUUACUUUCGCAAGAUCACUUGUUGGGUUGGGAAGAGACGUGCAGGCUGGCUCGUUUCCCCGGCGGUGUAAAGCUACCGGACAUGGCCAUUGUCUCUUGGAGACCAAUUUGUGGAUUGAGCUACUAUACUAUGUGAACACCCUCAGGCAAAGUGGGCUGGUUGAGGGAGAGAGUGCGCACCCCCAACCUGAUUGACAUCUGAGACCCUGUGAGGAAGUAUAAAAGAGGGUCUGGGGAACAACCCCUUCAGACGCACCAGAAGAAACGUUAAGCGACCACGUAACAGCAGGAAGUCAUCUAAAGGAAGCCACGUGCGUUCGAUUCCGUGGCUGGAAUUGGUGGCUGGAACCAUGGGAAAACAGCUUUUAGCUAACAACGGGGAAGCCCGCUCCCCUGACUCAACGGAUCGGCAUCUUAAAAGACCUGGGGCAAGUUUAAACCACAUCACUUUUAAACCCAACAGCGCUGCAGCUUGAACGACCUGAUAGUGACUGUUAUCUUUCCGUCGGACAAUACAUUAACCCCUAGACAACGAUAGAGCUAUUUCUUAUUGGUUAUUAUUAUACCCACACUUAGAUUUAGUAUUGACGACGUAUAUUAUCUGUAUGUUUGCAUUAAUCUUAUUUUUGUGCCCGUUAUCAAUAAAUACUUUAAAAAAUUGUACCAUCAGACUUCAACAAACCUCUCUAUCUUUGCUGGUAAGUGAUCCAGUUACGGGAAUUUGUAACACUUGUGAAAAAGCUAUAUCUCCUUUCAUUUUCUUAAUAUAUGUUAAAACUCUUUUUUCUUUUCACAGGUCCAUUAAUUCCAUUAACAUUAAAACUUUAAAAAUUGAGUAAAUUAAUCAUUCAUAAUACUUUGGGAACUCUUUAAAUUUCUCCAUGUUGCUAUGAGUCUCUCCCCAACCAUCCAGGCAAAAAAGAAGAAAAAUAGAAGAAAGAUGACUAAUAUAUAAGGAACCCCCCCCCCCCACUAAUGUUGCGAAUAAAAAGAACACAACAUUACCCCCCCCAUUUUACGGGUCAUGGCAAUCGCCAUGAUUGUACACGCGAAACUCGCAGCCAUCGAUCAGGAGCUCCUCCAGCUCCCCUGUAAAAGCAAAAAAAAAAAAAUACAUUAGUGAAGAAAAAAAAAGAAAAUAAUUAAUGUCUCUACUCCCAAUUAAUACUCCUCGACUAUUUUUUUCUUAUAAAUUUCCGUCAAGUCCAACCUUGUUUCAGUCUUCAUCAUUAGUCCAUUUCAUUUCUAUAAUUCUUUACUCCUCUUCGUGGACAUCAGGUAAUUCUUGUACAAAUUUCUCCGCUUUCCGGUAGUCAACGAAAAAUCUUCUUUCUUCGUUAUCCAGGAAAAUUAUCAAUUUUGCUGGGUAGCUCAAUAAAAAUUUAUAGCCCUUUUCCCAUAAAGGUUUUUUCACUGGAUUAAAUUCCUUCCGCCUCUUCAGAAGAUCGUAACUUAUGUCUGGAUAAAAAAAAACUCUUUCCCCUUCUAUUAUCAAUGGCCCAUUUCUCUUUUUAGCACCUUGAGUAGCUGCCUUCAAGAUCAUUUCUUUAUCUUGGUAACUUAAGCAUUUUAUCAAAAUUGAUCUUGGAUUUUGAUCUUGUUGAGGUCUUGGUCUUAAAGCUCUGUGUGCUCUUUCAAUUUCAAUUACUUGGCUUCCUUCUUUCAUUUCCAAAAUUUUUGGAAUCCAUUCUUGAAAGAAUUUUAUUGCAUUUUCUCCCUCUGUACCUUCCAUAAGACCAACAAUUUUGUUAUUAUUUCGUCUACUAGAGUUUUCAAGCACAUCUAUUUUUUUCAACAUCCGUUUUCUUUCUGUUGUCCAGGCAAGAUUAUCUUCUAUCUUAACUAUUCUUUCAGUGUUUUCUUCAACUUUUACUUCCAUCUCUUUAACUUUAUUAUCCAUCUUCUUUUGUUUUUCCACCACAUUAUCGAGUGUAUUCUGCAUCCUUCUUGUAUCUGUUCUUUUAGCUUUUAAUUCAUUCUUCAUAUAUAUCAGGGAUAUCUUUUAUGUCUCCUUUAAUCUCCUCUUUCUUUUCCUCUUCUUCUUCCUCUGAAUUUUCCAAAGAGUCUGAUUCCACUUCCGAUUCACUGCCAGUCGUCGUUGGGAUUUGUAGUUUUGUUAAUAUCUGUUCAUGCAUAUUUUCGCGCAUGCGUUGUUCUUGCCGUUUCUUCUUAGAGACUGCCGACAUUGCUGCAACUUCCUGUCCCGCAUCUUCAGAAGUGCCAUGCACUUCACCGGGAGUUGAUCCAACUUGAGUCCGAGGCUUCGCCGAGAUGGUUAGGCCUUUCUCCCCGCCGAUUUGCGCAGUCUUCGAAGUAGUAGCUUUCUUCUGUUUCAGUUUAGGAGCCAUAUCAAAAGAUAAUCCUGAGUUGCUUAUAAAUAGUUUCUAGUAGGUAUUUGUUAACACUUCUUCAUUUAAACCUUAUUUCAUUACUUUUUACGAGGGAGCUGGAUUCCCAACGUCUCGACCCUAUGUCAUCAUGUGACGCCCCAUGUGAAAAAAAUCUUGUCUAGGUACAGAAAUAGAACACCUAAUCUUCCCUAAAUUUAAACAUGACAUAACAUCAACCAAUAGGCAUGAGUAAGUGGAGCAGCAUCUUUCCAUUUAAGCAACAAAAUUCUUCUAGCUAAAAGAGAAAUAAAAGCCAAAAUAUGCAAAUCAUUCAGCGUAAAAGUAAAAUCAUUUCCUCCAACAAUGCCAAACAAGGCAGUCAGAGGGUUGGGUUUAAAGUUUACUUUAAACAGCUCCGAGAAAGUUUGAAAUACUUCUUUCCAAAAUUUAUCAAGCCGCAGGCAGGACCAAAGCAUAUGAAUUAGAGAGGCCUCUUCAACAUUACACCUAUUACAGUAUGGAGAAAAAUCUGAGUAAAAACGAGAGAGCUGAUCUUUGGUCAUAUAGACUCCAUGAACCACUUUAAAUUGUAAGAGAGUGAUGUGCACAUAAUGAAAAGGUGUGAACAAGUUAAAAAAUUUCAUUCCAAGUAUCCUCAUCAAUUGAAAUCUGUAGGUCUUGUUCCCAGAGUUUUUAAUUUUGUCUAACAGAAUGUUUCUCAUUGCGAACAUACUAUAAAUAUUAGAAAUAGAUCCAUUAUGAAAAGGUUUCAGAGUAAAAAUUGUAUCAAUUAGAUUCUUAUCUGGACAUUUAGGAAAUGUAUGAAGUUGAGAACACAAGAAGUCUCUAAUUUGUAAAUAUCUAAAAAAGUGAGCUUUACGAAGAUUAUAUUUAACAGAUAGUUGAUCAAAUGAGGGAAGAAUAUCUCCAACAAACAGAUCCAGAAAACAUUUAAUACCUCAUCUAUUCCACUCUUUAAAAACUACAUCAGUCAAAGAAGGUUUAAAAAAAAUUAGAAAAAAUGGGAGUAGAGUGAAAAACCAAAUAACCCAAAGAAUUUUGUAAAUUGUAAUCAAAUCUCAAAGAAUGUUUAACUACAUAAUUAUCAGUUAAAUUACUUAAGAAUAGAGGAAUUGAAGAACCAAGAAGAGAAAUAAUAGAAAAUUUAUUAACAGAAUGAACUUCUGCAGAAACUCAGGCCUGACAGUCUUCACGAAUAAUAUAACCAAAACGUAAGGUAGCGUAUAUUGACUGCCCAGUAGUAAAACCUAAAAUUAGGUAGUUUUCUGAAGAUGAACUGUUUAAUUGGGAGGUUUUAUUCUUCCUUAAAUAAGGAGAUAUAAUCGAGUCUAAAAGAGUCAAAAAAGGAUUUAGGAAUAAAAGCAGGCUCGAAGGGCCAAAUGGCCUACUCGUGCACCUAUUUUCUAUGUUUAAGCAGGUAGGACUUGAAAUAAAUAUAAAAGUUCAGGCAAAAUAUUCAUUUUAAUAUAAUCGCUGAAUAGUCCAAUCAGUGAUACAGAAGGGGAGACCAGUUUGACAGUACCUUCUUAACAUACUCCAGAAGAGGGAUAAAAGUUUUCUUUAAAAAGAGAUUUACAAUUCCUGGUAAUUGUUAUACCCAAAUAAGUAAAUUAAUUUCUUGCAAUUUUAAAAGGAAGGUCAGAGUUGACUGAUACCAAAUUAUUCAAAGGACGAAGUUCACUCUUAUGAAGAUUAUAUUUAUAUCCUUAGAACUGACUAAAUUCAGAAAGUAAAGAAAGUACUGAGGAUAGAGAGAACUCCACAUUAGAGAUGUACAGCAAAAGGUCAACAGCCUAAAUUGACAACUUAUGAGCAUUACCCCUCCUUAAAAUACCCGAGAUAUCAACGAAUUCAUGAAACGCUAAAGCUAAAGGCUCUAAAGCCAAAUCAAAAAGCAAAGGACUCAAAGGACAUCCUUGUCUGGCUCCACAUUGGAGACUAAACGGUUUGGAACUCUGAGAGUUAGUAAGAACCUGUGCAGUGGGAGAUAAAUAAUUUAAUCCAUUGAAUAAAAUUGGACCCAAUGUUAAAUUUUGCUAAUAUUUUAAUUAAAUAAUUCCAUUCAACCCGAUCAAAGGCUUUCUGAGCAUCUAAAGAAAUCACACACUCCGAAGUUUCUUUAGAAGGAGAAUAAAUAACAUUUAGUAAAUGACAAAUGUUAAAAUGAGAAUAACGAUUUUUGAUAAAUCUGGUCCGAUUGUCAGAGAUAAUAGAAGGCAGAAUGUUUUCCAUCCUAUGGGCCAAAAGUUUUGAUAAAAUUUUAGCAUCAACUUUAAGUAAAGAAAUAGGUCUGUAGGAAGAGCAGUCAAUUGGAUCUUUAUUCUUUUUGAGAAUAAGCAAAAUAGAGGUGUCAUAAAAGUAUUGUGGCAACCUGCCUAAUUUAAAAGAGUCAGAAAGAACAUAAAGUAAGUGAGGAAUAAGCAAAGGAGCAAAAGCCUUACAGAACACUCCAGAAAAUCCGUUAGGACCGGGAGCCUUCCCCGAACUCAGAGAAUGGACAACCCACACAAUUUCCUCAGAAGAAAAAGGUUUAUUUAACCAUUUUCAAUUAACCUCAAAAAGUGAGGGAAUAUUUAAAUGAUCUAGAAAGUUAUUCAUAGCAAAACUGAUUUCAGGGAAAUUGGAGCUAUACAGUUUAGAGUAAAAUUAUCUCCAAGUAUCAUUUAUUUCCAAUUGAUCAGAAGUUACAUCACCAUUCGCUUUAGAGAUUUCCUUAAUUUGAUGUUUAACUAUUAAAGUUUUAAGUUGAUUAGCCACAAGUUUGCCUGUUUUAUCACCAUAAAAAAUAAAAUUGACUUUUAUUUUUUUUAAAGUUGAGUUUCAACAGGGUAAGUUAAGAGCAGAUCAUAUUUCAUUUUAACUUCAACAUGUCUUUUAUAUAAGAUAGGAUCCAGAUCGGAAGCAUAUAUUUGAUCUAAAUGUUUCAGCUGAUUGGAUAAAUCAGUUCUCUCCUUAUUAGCUUUUUUCUUAAUACUUACUGUAUAGGAAAUAAUUUGGCCUCUAAUAUAAGCCUUGAAAGCAUCCCAAAUGAUAAGGCUAGAAGUGCCAUCUAGCAUAUUCUCUUCAAAGAAAUAAGUAAUUUGAUUCUCUAUAUAUUUUUUUAAAACUUUAUCCGAUGGUAAUAUUGGAUUAAAACACCAAAAUCUGUUUGAGAAACAUCCGGAAGAUUUAAAGAUAAAAAGACGGGGAUAUGAUCUGAAACAGCAAUUUCUUUAUAUUCACAGGAUCGAACAUAUGGUAUCAAAUGAAUAUGGCCAAAAAAAUAAUCAAUCCUGGAAUAGGUAUGAUGAACAAGAGAAAAAAAGGAAUAUUCUCUACUUGUUGGAUGUAAAAAACGCCAAACAUCAAUAAUGUCACAUUUCAUUAGAAAAGAUUGAAUACAGGAGGCAGAUCUACUAAUCAUCAAACGUUUUCAAAGAUGAAUGGUCUAAAACAGGGUUAAGACAGCAAUUAAAGUCACCUCCACUAGACUCUUGAGUGUUUUGUGCAUUGACUUGCUUCAUGAUAAGUUGUCCAGAAAUUCAAUAAAUUCAAUUCAAUUAAACUUACAAAAAAAAA